GCGCCGGUGGUGUAAGGCGAACAUCGCUGCCCGGAAAGCAGAAGGUGCGGGUUCGAGUCCCGCCUGGCGGA
rnacentral:tRNA from 1 species